AGCUUUGCGCAGUGGCAGUAUCGUAGCCUAUGAGGUUUAUCCGAGGUGCGAUUUUUGCUAGUUGAAAACUUUACCCAAUACCCCGCCUUGACGACUUGAAAUACAGUCUGCAAUGGCAAUUUUUGGCCGUCUCUCAGGAGG